GGAGAGCGAGGUCGCCGGAGGCGGCGGGGGAGGAGGAGGAGGGACGACGACCCCGCCGGCCCUCGCGACCGGGCGGUAGACGUGCUGAGGGAGGAGGAGGUGUGGGGGUGAGGAGGGCAUCUGGGAGGGGAGGCUAUGGUGGCUGGAGUCGCUGAGGUCGGAGCCGGAGGGGCUCCCGGGGGCGGCGGCGGAGGAGAGCGUCGGGUGGCCGUCGCUGGUUGUCCGCUUGAGAGGGCGGAGGUCGUCGGCGAGGAGAGAAGAGUGGUGCUUGCGCUUGAGGGUGGAGUUCCAGUGGUUCUUGAUGGCGUUGUCGGUGCGGCCGGCGAGGAGCCUGGCGAUGGUGGCCCACUUG
rnacentral:lncRNA from 1 species